rnacentral:snRNA from 1 species
AUACUUACCUGCUGCCGGGCUGUUCGGUGGUCAAUAUGGCCGGCGCCCAAGUGGAGGCUGGUGAUUGCGCUGCUGAUCGGCUGAAGCUUGCCCCUACUCGGAACUGGGAUAGGCGGGCAUGUAAUUUUUGGUAGUGGGGUCAGACGUUCGCGCCGAUCCUCC